UAUUAAUAAUAUAUGCAUGCAUCUCGAGUAAUCUAAAUGGAUUUUUAGAUGCUUAUAAGAGUUCAGUAACCCAAACUAACAAGAAAAGUUAUGGUGACUAGUGCACCACAACGGCAACGCUGUAACUUUGUUUUCCGUUGAGAGUGGAGGACUUAUUCGAUUGUGGUGUAUUAAUUUAUGGGAGCCCUUUGAAAUGGGGAAAAGCUGUAUUAUUUGUGGAAUUAUUGAAUUACCUAACAUAACCUUUCAUCCGUAUGUGUUUUGAAGUCAUAGACGUGCAUACGGGAAUUUUCGCAUUUUAAUGUGUUUAGAUUUCCUUCUAAGUUUCCACUUUGAAGUAUCACCAUACCUUAUCAUAGAUCAAUAGGGACCUUUCAAACACAUACAGCGUUUGGUCAUAAAUAUUUAGUGAUACGUUAUUACGUUUGCACAUGUAAACAAAACAUAAACUUUGUUGCCCAUAAAAAUAAAUAAACCUUACGCCACUGA